CUCCAACUUCCAAUGACUGGAUUAUUACACCAUCAUAAAUGCUUCAGUUGACUACAGGGAAGACCUUCAACAGCUUUUUUAAACCCCUUAAGGACCAAACUUCUGGAAUAAAAUGGACUCAUGACUAGUGAUGCACCGAACGGUUCGCCGGCGAACAGUUCCCGUCGAACAUAGCGUGUUCGCGUCCGCCGCGGAUGGCGAACACAUGCGCGGUUCGCAGACCCUCCCACCUACUGGACA